rnacentral:rRNA from 1 species
AGAGUUUGAUCAUGGCUCAGAUUGAACGCUGGCGGCAGGCUUAACACAUGCAAGUCGAGCGGGGGAAGGUAGCUUGCUACUGGACCUAGCGGCGGACGGGUGAGUAAUGCUUAGGAAUCUGCCUAUUAGUGGGGGACAACAUCUCGAAAGGGAUGCUAAUACCGCAUACGUCCUACGGGAGAAAGCAGGGGAUCUUCGGACCUUGCGCUAAUAGAUGAGCCUAAGUCGGAUUAGCUAGUUGGUGGGGUAAAGGCCUACCAAGGCGACGAUCUGUAGCGGGUCUGAGAGGAUGAUCCGCCACACUGGGACUGAGACACGGCCCAGACUCCUACGGGAGGCAGCAGUGGGGAAUAUUGGACAAUGGGGGGAACCCUGAUCCAGCCAUGCCGCGUGUGUGAAGAAGGCCUUAUGGUUGUAAAGCACUUUAAGCGAGGAGGAGGCUACUUUAGUUAAUACCUAGAGAUAGUGGACGUUACUCGCAGAAUAAGCACCGGCUAACUCUGUGCCAGCAGCCGCGGUAAUACAGAGGGUGCGAGCGUUAAUCGGAUUUACUGGGCGUAAAGCGUGCGUAGGCGGCUUAUUAAGUCGGAUGUGAAAUCCCCGAGCUUAACUUGGGAAUUGCAUUCGAUACUGGUGAGCUAGAGUAUGGGAGAGGAUGGUAGAAUUCCAGGUGUAGCGGUGAAAUGCGUAGAGAUCUGGAGGAAUACCGAUGGCGAAGGCAGCCAUCUGGCCUAAUACUGACGCUGAGGUACGAAAGCAUGGGGAGCAAACAGGAUUAGAUACCCUGGUAGUCCAUGCCGUAAACGAUGUCUACUAGCCGUUGGGGCCUUUGAGGCUUUAGUGGCGCAGCUAACGCGAUAAGUAGACCGCCUGGGGAGUACGGUCGCAAGACUAAAACUCAAAUGAAUUGACGGGGGCCCGCACAAGCGGUGGAGCAUGUGGUUUAAUUCGAUGCAACGCGAAGAACCUUACCUGGCCUUGACAUACUAGAAACUUUCCAGAGAUGGAUUGGUGCCUUCGGGAAUCUAGAUACAGGUGCUGCAUGGCUGUCGUCAGCUCGUGUCGUGAGAUGUUGGGUUAAGUCCCGCAACGAGCGCAACCCUUUUCCUUACUUGCCAGCAUUUCGGAUGGGAACUUUAAGGAUACUGCCAGUGACA